rnacentral:rRNA from 2 species
UACGUAGGGGGCGAGCGUUAUCCGGAUUCAUUGGGCGUAAAGCGCGCGCAGGCGGCCUGCUCGGUCGGGAGUCAAAUCCGGGGGCUCAACCCCCGCCCGCUCCCGAUACCGGCGGGCUUGAGUCUGGUAGGGGAAGGCGGAAUUCCCAGUGUAGCGGUGGAAUGCGCAGAUAUUGGGAAGAACACCGGUGGCGAAGGCGGCCUUCUGGGCCACGACUGACGCUGAGGCGCGAAAGCUAGGGGAGCGAACAGG